UGUGAAGGGGAGAAUGAACAAAGUGAACCUUCUGCGCUUGUGUGAACAACAGGCAUAUAUGUGUAUCCCGGGAGACAUCCUGGUAUAGUUCAUAAGCUGAGCUUCUUCAGUGAGCACACACACGCCCAAGGACUACUGCCGGCCCCUUAGCUCAAGCGCUUACAGUGUCAAGUCUAGUGACUUCAAGGAAAACCGGAAACUAUCUAUGGCAUUCCUCCUUCAGUGAGCAGUGUUAACAAUUAACUACGGAAAGCUUAUUAUCACCCUCUAAUUAAAUACUGAUAAGCAUCAUGGCCAUGAUGCCAGGCGGCCUCGACGCCGCUCCUUAUCCACCAGCUCCCAUGAUAAUGGAUGUGGAUCAGGGCUUUUCCCACGUGGCCCACCAUCUCCCUGGACCAAUGCAGCCGCCUCCACAGCCCCUGCAGCAGGCCCAGUACCCAUCACCACCUAUGCUCCAGAACCACAACGUUGAAAAACAAGGCCCCUCCGAGCAGAUGAUGGCUGGAGCAGAACCACCUUACCAGUGUAAGAUUUGUGGUAAAGGUUUCGCCAUCCCAGCUAGGCUAGCGCGCCAUCACCGCGUUCACACCGGAGAGAAACCUUUCAAAUGCGAGUUCUGUGAGAAGACGUUUAGUGUGAAGGAGAACUUGAAUGUACAUCGUCGUAUCCACACCAAGGAACGUCCUUACAAGUGCAAUAUCUGUGACCGAUCCUUCGAACACUCUGGCAAGCUGCAUCGACACAUGCGCACUCACACUGGAGAGAGACCUCACAAGUGCGAGGUGUGUGGUAAGACAUUCGUUCAGUCCGGACAACUUGUGAUUCACAUGCGAGCCCACACCGGUGAAAAGCCAUACACCUGCGAAUACUGCCAAAAGGGAUUCACAUGCUCCAAGCAACUCAAAGUACACAUCCGUACACACACAGGUGAAAAGCCCUACGAGUGUGACGUCUGCGGCAAGACCUUCGGAUACAACCAUGUACUCAAGAUGCACAAAAUGUCCCAUCUUGGCGAGAAGCUGUACAAAUGUACCUUAUGUGAGGAGUUCUUCAACUCUCGCAAGGCUCUCGAUCGUCACAUCCGCGAUCACGACAACCCGGAGAGGGCAUCACGCAAGCAACAGCCGCAACCAACACAACAACAAGAUUCACAAUGGAAGUUCUCGCCUCUUUCAAGUAAUUCAGACGUCAAGGAAGUCAAGGACACCAACACCUCCAACUCUCCCAUCACCAACUCCUCACCAGCCUCCAUAUCAUGGGACAGUGAUUCUAUGGAUCAACAGCUGCCAUUUCGUGAGUUGCGACGGGCCUCUGAAGGGCCCAGCGCUUGUGGACCAGAGGUUUACACCUGCUAUGGAAGCGACACUGUCAGGUCUCGAUCUCCUGGAUACAUCAGUGAUGACAGCGGUAGAGGCGCUAGCCCCGUCAGUGACACUCUCUCCCCACCUCGAUCUCCAGUCGCUUCUGGACCUCCUCUAAUGCUGCCACAUAUCAUGGAUGCGCCGCCCAUUAGACAGCAAUUACCUGUUGGUAGCACUCCCAUUGACUACAACCUUCUACUGCACCGCAUGUACCCAGAUCUCCAGGUGCCCAAGCCAGAGUCCUCUCAUCCUAGUGAUACUCCGCGCAUGGCAGUCUUCACCACGGAGACUGGCGAACGACUCACUUGUCCCUAUGAUCUCCUUUUAUGUCUUCAAAGAAAAAAGGAACAUAACUUCAUGGAUGAACACAAACUUGUCAUGGAGCAGGAAGCCAUCCGUCGGCGCCAGCAACAACAACAGUUGGAAGAACACCUAUUGCGUGAAGAGACGCGUCGUAAGCGUGAGUGUACGUUCAUCAACACAGUACAGCGAGUACUGGAAGCACUCAUCGGUAAUGAACGGCUCGAGCAAUUAGGUCAUCCACAAACAUCUGUCGACGAAGUUCUCAUGCGAACGCUAAAACUUAUGGGCUCACAGCCUUGCAAGGAGCCUUCACUCUCUGCAAUGGACCGGGUCAAGGUCAACCUCAGGCUGCUCCUAGAGUGCAGCGUACCUGAUCAGGACAUGUGGACCAAGUUUGGCUGGAGAGGAAAGCCGAUUGACGACAUUGUGUCAGAGUUCCUAAAUUUCUGCUAGUUUCUUCAAGGUUGUCAUUUACUCAGAAUUGCUCACCAAGUUAAAAAAAGGGGAUAGGAAAAUCCCUCUGCUUAUUGUCAGGAAAAUUGAUUCAGGAGAACUGAUUAAAAAUGUCUAGACAUUAUAAGAGACAAUCUUCCAAAGGUGAAAAGCAGGCAGCUGUUGGAAUGGAGACAUUCUUAUUUAAGAAAUGGAAGAUAUGUGAAGGUUUGAAAGAUUAAAUGUGAAGAAAGAGUACCCCCUUGUCGGAUGACAACUAUGGGUGUUAUACCUUUAGGCACUAAGCCCAGCAGCUAACCACAUCAGUGCUAUCUUAGAGACAGACAAAACCUGACAUUAUUGCAGUACCUUGGCAUAGAGACACGCUGACCAAGCUGCUCACCUUGCAGCCAGGGUGAGCGUGAGCCCCGCCGUCCUCUUGUGCCCAGGUAGAGAGCGCCGAUCUCAAAGAGCCUCUACUGGUCUCAUCUUUGCUCAGUAUUUUCGCAGCGCCUGGCAGGUCUGCGAUACCACUAGUCCUUUGUGAAUGUCCCGGUAAUCUUAACUUUUGUACAUUCCACCUUGUUUAUUUGAAGCACAAAAUGUGUUAUAAAUAUUAAAUUAUGUAAAUGAGAUAUAUAUUUUAAAUGUACUGUUUAAUAAAAAUCAAAUGAUA
rnacentral:misc_RNA from 1 species